rnacentral:tRNA from 1 species
GCGUCUGUGGCAGAGUGGUCAAAUGCAUCAGACUGUAAAUCUGACGGGUUAUCCCUUCGUAGGUUCAAAUCCUACCGGGCGCACAA